rnacentral:rRNA from 1 species
CGCGGCCUAUCAGCUUGUUGGUGAGGUAAUGGCUCACCAAGGCUUCGACGGGUAGCCGGCCUGAGAGGGCGACCGGCCACACUGGGACUGAGAUACGGCCCAGACUCCUACGGGAGGCAGCAGUGGGGAAUAUUGCACAAUGGGCGCAAGCCUGAUGCAGCAACGCCGCGUGCGGGAUGACGGCCUUCGGGUUGUAAACCGCUUUCAGUAGGGACGAAGCUAACGUGACGGUACCUACAGAACAAGGACCGGCUAACUACGUGCCAGCAGCCGCGGUGAUACGUAGGGUCCGAGCGUUGUCCGGAAUUAUUGGGCGUAAAGGGCUUGUAGGCGGUCCGUCGCGUCAGGAGUGAAAACUCGGGGCUUAACCCCGAGCCUGCUUUUGAUACGGGCGGACUAUAGGGAUGCAGGGGAGAACGGAAUUCCUGGUGGAGCGGUGGAAUGCGCAGAUAUCAGGAGGAACACCGGUGGCGAAGGCGGUUCUCUGGGCAUCACCUGACGCUGAUAAGCGAAAGCGUGGGGAGCAAACAGGCUUAGAUACCCUGGUAGUCCACGCCGUAAACGGUGGGCACUAGGUGUGGGGGACAUUCCACGUUCUCCGUGCCGAAGCUAACGCAUUAAGUGCCCCGCCUGGGGAGUACGG